GCGUCUCAGCGUUCAUCCCCUGAUCAAGGAUGCCCGAAGCGGUGAGACGGACAACAAUUGAAUAAAGUCAACCCAUCGGGACGGUUGGCCAGUUAAGAAGUGAGGAUUCAUUCUUAUGGCCAAUUAUGGGAAGUCCUGUGUGGAUUCUCA
rnacentral:ncRNA from 1 species